AAGAUCGGAGUGCUUGCACUCUGUGAAAACAAGAUACAGGCUAGCGGCGGACGGGUGAGUAACACGUGGGUAACCUGCCCAAGAGAUCGGGAUAACACCUGGAAACAGAUGCUAAUACCGGAUAACAACAGAUGAUGCCUAUCAACUGUUUAAAAGAUGGUUCUGCUAUCACUCUUGGGAUGGACCUGCGGUGCAUUAGCUAGUUGGGUAGGGGGUAACGGCCUACCAAGGCGAUGAUGCAUAGCCGAGUUGAGAGACUGAUCGGCCACAUUGGGACUGAGACACGGCCCAAACUCCUACGGGAGGCAGCAGUAGGGGAAUCUUCCACAAUGGACGCAAGUCUGAUGGAGCAAACGCCGCGUGAGUGAAGAAGGGUUUCGGCUCGUAAAGCUCUGUUGUUGGCGAAGAAGGACAGGGGGUAGUAACUGACCUUUGUUUGACGGUAAUCAAUUAGAAAAGUCACGGGCUAACUACGUGCCCAGCAGCCGCGGGUAAAU
rnacentral:rRNA from 1 species